rnacentral:rRNA from 1 species
AUGGAGGUCCCGGAAGAUCGUAGAGUUCCUUUGGUCGCAUACAAGCUGAAAGGAGUAGCCGCACCAUGGUGGCAUCGCGUUCAAGAGGAGCGCAGGCUGAGAGGAGAUCCUCGUGUUAGAACUUGGCGACAAAUGAAAGGCCUCUUGAAAGGGAGAUUUUUGCCCGCUGAUUAUGACCAGAUCCUAUUUAUCCAAUUUCAAAAUUGUGCUCAAGGAAAUAGGACUAUUUCAUAUUACACGGAGGAGUUUCUAAGGCUACAAGUGAGGUGCAACCUUGCUGAAACUGAAGAGCAACAAGUUGCAAGGUACAUCAAUGGUAUCAAUGAUGCUAUUCAAGAUCGAUUGAUGAUGCAACAAAUCUGGUCUGUUGAUCAAGCACAAGCUCUUAAAGGCCGAGAGGUUUGUGAGGAUGAGAAAGACAACUAA